GGUAAGACGUAGACUACUACGCUCGGGGUUGCAGGUUCGAUUUCCUGAGUGAUUUUUUCUUUUUUUUUAUCUGAUUUUUUGGAAUCUGCUCGGAGCUGACUUUAGACCAAAAGGCAUCUUGGUGUAUUCGAAUUGACCUAGAGGCGUUAUAAAAGCCGUGUAUUUAAUCGACUCUUCAGCUACUCGGAUAUGAAAGAACCCAUCUCUGAGAUCCAAUGUGUUAAAAUACUUUUUGCCCAGUAAAACAUUGAUCUGAUCUUCAAUUACUGGAAUCGGAUAAUUUAUACGUGCAAUAUACUUAUUCAACGUUCUAUAGUCAAUACAUAAACGAUAUUCUCUGUUUUUCUUUCUUACCAGUACAAUUGGUGACGCAUACUCCGAAUUGCUCGGUCUGAUUAUCCUUUUCGCUAGUAACUCAUCUAAUAUUAUCUGUAAUUGUUCCUUUUCCGCAUAGGCAAGUCGUCUCGGGAAGAAAUGGAAAGGUUGUACAUCCUUCAAUUCCAAUUUUAAUUCUGCAUUUACCUUUGGUUCCUUUGGGCGCUCUGGAUUUAUAUACUUCUUCUCGAAUAUGCUCUUGAAUUCUAUCUGCUUAUCCUGUAAUUUCGAAAUUAAUAAUUAACGAAUCGGAUAUAUUAUCUACCAUUUCCGUCGCAUUUAUGUUCAGGAUUUCAUUAACUUCUUCCUCUACAUCGCUCUUAACCUCACUUGCAAUACACAAUUUGAAUUGUUUCAAAAAAUCUCUACCUGUUAUCAACGAAAAUGACAUCAUUAGGAACAACAUAAACGUGUGCAUCAACCUCCUUUACUUUAUCAGAAGAGAUAUCUACCGUAGUGGAGCCAAUAAUAUUUAAUCUGCUCUUAUUUAUUCCACAAACUUUCCUUUCUUUAUCGGUAUAGUCAAUAAAACAACUAGGGAUCAUUUUUUCUUUUACAAAGCUAAUCGAGCUCCCUGUGUCAAUUAAAGCAUCUACUACUAUUUCGCAUUUCGUUUGAGAACUAUUAAACUUUAAAGUAGCUUCUCUCUGAAAGUCAUUAGUAGUUUCCGCGGUAUGCACAAAAUUAACUUAUUCUACAUUUACCUUACCUGUACAAUUGCCAAUCAUAUGACUCUUCUCUCCACACUUAAAGCAAGCGCCUUUUAGAGCGCAGAGUAUUUGAAGCAAAUAAUACGUAUGCAAGCAACAUUACGUUUAACAUUACAAAACAUGAAAGAACGACUAAGCAGAGUCGAAGAUGUAAUGAAAAAUCGCACUUCUGUAUCAAAUAAGAAUGAUAAUCUUAUCGGACAUCUGUUACUGCUGAACACAAUUGGAAGUAUACAAGACUUCGAUUCGUUCUUACGCAACACUGAUGAAGCAGUCAAGUAAUUUAAAAGCUUUCUGUUAAGGAUUGGUGGGAAUAAUCCAAGAGACAAUAUUCAGUGCAUUCUUCCUAAAAUAUUAACGGACAAAUGCGCAAUGAAAUGCUUUUGGAAAGGAGAAAUCACUUUACACCAUUCAAAUUUGACGGAGGCUGAAUUUGAUGGAAUAGUGGCGGAAUGGUUGCGUUUUGCCAAACAAAGAAAUGAGAGAGUACAAAAACAAGCCCAUGAAGACAAUAAUAGUGAAGAAGAUAAUUAAUUAACGGAAAAAAUAAAUAUGUAUACGCAACGAUAAACGCAACGAUGCUAAUAGGGUUUAAAUUAAUGUUUAGAAGAUGUUGUAAAUGCUACAUUACGCCAUACAGUGUUUCCGUUUUGUGGACUUUAAUUUAAACUUGAUUAAUGUUAAUGAUGUCUAUCUAUGGGUCUAGACGUUUCUCUUUUGAUGAAAGGCGAGAAUUAAGAAGAAUUACUGAUGAGCUCUUAGAUAGAAAAAUUAUCAAACCAAGCAUUUCUCCGUAUUGUUCUCGGGUUGUUUUGGUUGCAAAGAAAAAUGGAGAGAAACGCAUGUGUAUUGACCUAAGACAACUAAAUAAUUGAUAAUUACUUAUUUUCAGUAUUAAAAAUACUGGAUAAUAAGUAAUUAUCAAUGAUUCUUAGUAUGAUAUUUCUAUAAGGAUUGUCUCUGUCAUUUCUGCUACGCUUUUGUCGUUCAGUGUCUCUUCUAAGUAUAGUGACAUAGUUAUAUUUUAACAAUUGCGCAAUUGACCGUGUUGCACUGAUAGGAAUUAUAUAACCAAAACCAUUUUUUUUGUGAUGGAAGAAGUGCAAUAAUGAUAUUAUCAUACGGGGUGUUCUCAUCUUUAUUUAUAGUAAUUAUUAUAUUACUAAUUAUUAUUUUUAUUAAUAUAUAUCACAAACUUUACACGUUAUAGAAACAAUGAUAAAAUUCGAAAUUUAGUUAUAAAUGCAGUCGUUCUAAGUUCUUAAUUUAUCAAUAAGAUAAGAGGACACAAAUGUCCGAAUAUAUAUAUAAGGUGUAGUUAAAAGAAAUCCAAUAUUUUUGCAUGAAA